GUGCUAUAAUGCAAGUCGAGCGGACCGACGGGAGCUUGCUCCCUUAGGUCAGCGGCGGACGGGUGAGUAACACGUGGGUAACCUGCCUGUAAGACUGGGAUAACUCCGGGAAACCGGGGCUAAUACCGGAUGCUUGAUUGAACCGCAUGGUUCCAUCCUUAAAGGGGGCUUUUAACUACCCCUUUCCGAUGGACCCGCGGCGCAUUAACUAAUUGGGGAGGUAACGGCUCCCCCAGGGGACCAAGCCUAACCCAACUGAAAGGGUGAUCGGCCCCCCUGGGACUGAAACCCGGCCCAAACUCCUACGGGAGGCAGCAGUAAGGAAUCUUCCGCAAUGGACGAAAGUCUGACGGAACAACCCCCCGUGAGUGAUGAAGGUUUUCCGAACCUAAAACUCUGGUGGUAGGGAGACAGUACCGUUCGAAUAGGGCGGUACCUUGACGGUACCUAACCAGAAAGCACGGCUAACUACGUGCCAGCAGCCGCGGUAAUACGUAGGUGGCAAGCGUUGUCCGGAAUUAUUGGGCGUAAAGCGCGCGCAGGCGGUUUCUUAAGUCUGAUGUGAAAGCCCCCGGCUCAACCGGGGAGGGUCAUUGGAAACUGGGGAACUUGAGUGCAGAAGAGGAGAGUGGAAUUCCACGUGUAGCGGUGAAAUGCGUAGAGAUGUGGAGGAACACCAGUGGCGAAGGCGACUCUCUGGUCUGUAACUGACGCUGAGGCGCGAAAGCGUGGGGAGCGAACAGGAUUAGAUACCCUGGUAGUCCACGCCGUAAACGAUGAGUGCUAAGUGUUAGAGGGUUUCCGCCCUUUAGUGCUGCAGCAAACGCAUUAAGCACUCCGCCUGGGGAGUACGGUCGCAAGACUGAAACUCAAAGGAAUUGACGGGGGCCCGCACAAGCGGUGGAGCAUGUGGUUUAAUUCGAAGCAACGCGAAGAACCUUACCAGGUCUUGACAUCCUCUGACAACCCUAGAGAUAGGGCUUCCCCU
rnacentral:rRNA from 1 species